GAGUAAAUAAUUGGGACCUGAAUACCCAAUCAUAGAAAGUGAUAAUCUUGUUUGAAUUGCAAGGAUGUAACGUUAUGUUUUUGUCUUUUUUCGAGUCGGGUUGUUUGGGAAUGCAGCCCUAAUAGGUGAUAGAUUUCAUCUAAAGCUAAAUAUAUCGAGGACACCGAUAGCGAAAAAGUACUGUGAA
rnacentral:rRNA from 1 species